UGUGCAAAGUAAAUGGUGUAGAAUCUCUCAGGAGAUGAACAUUCAGAGCUUAUGUGAGCAUUCGUUACACGGCAGAGGUAAAGGUACAACAUCGAUGUACUUCCUACAGAACACAAGAAAGUUUUGCUACAACACAGGAAAUAUCUGAAUGACAACAGACCUGGCUUAGACUUGGGAAGAGAGCAUGCAGCAUGAGUCUGAAACCUUCUUUCUACACACACAUGAACUAAAGAGAAUGCCUCUAAGCAUGGAUGUUGAUACUGCUUACGAUGACAAAGUGUUAAGCAGCCUUGGCAGCGAUGGCAGUGGAAACCUGACUUCUCCCAUCACAGCUCCUUGGCAGUGGAAACCUGACUUCUCCCGUCACAGCUCCUCCAGAACCAUGUGUAUUCCUGUCCACUGCCUCCUGCGGUGGGAGCCGGUGUUUGCCGCAUGCCUAGGUAGAGUGCUGGCUGAUGGGUGCACCUGAUGUUGGAGGGGGAGAAGAGGCUGUAGCUCCAGGUAGGAUGACUUUUUGUAGGACUGGUCUUUACCCAGACCCUUGUGAGGGGUCAAACACUGAGGCUAAAGACCAAGCCUCUUCCUGCUCCGUGAAGCCUCACGGCAAGCACGGCCAGCCAGCAGGCAGGGCUAACCCUGCAGGGACGCGCCGUCCUGGGCAGCAGGGACUCCAGCGCGGUGUCUGCUCAGCUUUGAAAUACAGGCCCAGCGAAGUGAAAGCACGAGAGGCGUGUGAAAGGCAAAGGUCUUGUGCUGCCUUUGCCAGACAGCAUUUCUUAAGUGGCACCAUGGCAGGGCUGAGUGGGAUGAUGGUUUGCUGAAGACUGCAAGAAAGCCGCAGAAUGCCUAGCGUUAGGCUAAAAGAGAAAGAGGAGUGCUACAGGGAAGUGGUUGGAACUGGA